rnacentral:lncRNA from 1 species
CUCCAAUAGAAGGAAGUGGGGCUCUCUAGAGAAAUGGCUUAUUGUAUGGCUUGAGCAGCAAAGAUGAGCCUGGAGUAUCUUACGAUGCCAGAAAGCAGGGAAGUGCUAAGCACACACACAAAACCACACACACACAAAAGCACACAGCCAUACACAACCACACACACAACCAUGUACAACCAUACACAACCCCACACAACGAUACACAAAGCCACACAAUUAUACAAAGCACACACAACCCCUCACACACAAUCAUAUAUAACCAUACACAACCCCACACACAACCCCACACUAUCAUACACAACCUCACACACAGAAUCCCACAUCUUACAAAGCACACACAGUCAUACACGCAACCAUACACAACCAUAUACACACAACCACUCACAACCAUAUACACACAACCACUCACAACCACACACACAACCAUACACAAGACCACACACACAACCCCAUGCAAUCAUACAAAUCACACACAACCACACACACAACCAUACACAAGGACACACGGCCACACACAACCAUACACAACCAUAUAUACAAAACCACUCACACAAACACACAAUCCCACACAACCCCAACCAUACACAACCCCACACACACAACCCCACGCAAUCAUACAAAUCCCACACAACCACACACACAACCAUACACAACCCACACACACUAACCCAAUCAUACAAAUUACAACCAGACACACAACCGUACACACCCAGCCACACACAAUCAUACACAACCAUAUAUGUACAACCACAUACAACCAUACACAAUUCCACACACACAACCCACAACCAUACGCAACCACACACAACCCCACACACAAUGACAACUACACACAACCCUACACAAGCACACACAACCAAACACAAUCACAACCACUCACAACCACAGACAUACAACAGCACACAACCACACACAACCAUACACACAAAACCAUUCCCACACAACCAUACACACACAACCAUUCCCACACAACCACACCCAACCAUACACAAACACACACACACGCACACAUAACCAUACACAACUUCACACAUGCACAGCCACACACAACCACACAGACAUACGUGACUAUUGAUGGGGGCAUGCCAAGGGAACACAGGGGCCAACUAGAUGAGCCAGGACAGUUUGAGGAAGGGACAGAUCGAGAAGCAUCAGAUCGUCACCCGCGUAGACAAUAAAUACCCUUGAGUCCACACAGAGAGGUCAGUGAUGGAGUAGGCAGGUGAACCGGAGAAC